rnacentral:rRNA from 1 species
UUCCGGUUGAUCCCGCCGGAGGCCACUGCUAUUGGGAUCCGACUAAGCCAUGCGAGUCGAGAGGGUUCGGCCCUCGGCAGACUGCUCAGUAACACGUGGAUAACCUACCCUCAGGCGGAGAAUAACCUCGGGAAACUGAGAAUAAUACUCCAUAGAUCUAGGAUGCUGGAAUGCGCCUAGAUUGAAAGCUCUGGCACCUAAGGAUGGGUCUGCGGACUAUCAGGUUGUAGUCAGGGUAAAGACCUGACUAGCCUACGACGGAUAUGGGUUGUGAGAGCAAUAGCCCAGAGACGAUAUCUGAGACACGAUAUCGGGCCCUACGGGGCGCAGCAGGCGCGAAAUCUUCACAAUGUGCGAAAGCACGAUGAGGGGAUCCCAAGUGCUGGCACGUAAGUGUCAGCUGUUUCUUUGUCUAAAAAACAAAGAGAGUAAGAGCUGGGUAAGACGGGUGCCAGCCGCCGCGGUAAUACCUGCAGCUCAAGUGGUGGCCGCUAUUAUUGGGCCUAAAACGUCCGUAGCCGGUUUAGUAAAUGCUUGGGUAAAUUGUGUAGCUUAACUAUACGAAUACCGGGUAGACUGCUAAACUUGGGACCGGGAGAGGCUAGAGGUACUCCUAGGGUAGAGGUGAAAUUCUGUAAUCCUAGGGGGACCACCAGUGGCGAAGGCGUCUAGCUAGAACGGGUCUGACGGUGAGGGACGAAGCCCUGGGGCGCAAACCGGAUUAGAUACCCGGGUAGUCCAGGGUGUAAACGCUGCUUGCUUGAUGUUAGUUGGGCUCCGAGCCCAACUAGUGUCGGAGAGAAUUUGUUAAGCAAGCUGCCUGGGAAGUACGGUCGCAAGACUGAAACUUAAAGGAUUUGCGGGGGGAGCACAGCAACGGGUGGAGCGUGCGGUUUAUUGGAUUCAACGCCGAA